UGUUUCGGCAAGGGGGUCAUCCCGACUUACCAACCCGAUGCAAACUGCGAAUACCGGAGAAUGUUAUCACGGGAGACACACGGCGGGUGCUAACGUCCGUCGUGAAGAGGGAAACAACCCAGACCGCCAGCUAAGGUCCCAAAGUCAUGGUUAAGUGGGAAACGAUGUGGGAAGGCCCAGACAGCCAGGAUGUUGGCUUAGAAGCAGCCAUCAUUUAAAGAAAGCGUAAUAGCUCACUGGUCGAGUCGGCCUGCGCGGAAGAUGUAACGGGGCUAAACCAUGCACCGAAGCUGCGGCAGCGACGCUUAUGCGUUGUUGGGUAGGGGAGCGUUCUGUAAGCCUGUGAAGGUGUGCUGUGAGGCAUGCUGGAGGUAUCAGAAGUGCGAAUGCUGACAUAAGUAACGAUAAAGCGGGUGAAAAGCCCGCUCGCCGGAAGACCAAGGGUUCCUGUCCAACGUUAAUCGGGGCAGGGUGAGUCGACCCCUAAGGCGAGGCCGAAAGGCGUAGUCGAUGGGAAACAGGUUAAUAUUCCUGUACUUGGUGUUACUGCGAAGGGGGGACGGAGAAGGCUAUGUUGGCCGGGCGACGGUUGUCCCGGUUUAAGCGUGUAGGCUGGUUUUCCAGGCAAAUCCGGAAAAUCAAGGCUGAGGCGUGAUGACGAGGCACUACGGUGCUGAAGCAACAAAUGCCCUGCUUCCAGGAAAAGCCUCUAAGCAUCAGGUAACAUCAAAUCGUACCCCAAACCGACACAGGUGGUCAGGUAGAGAAUACCAAGGCGCUUGAGAGAACUCGGGUGAAGGAACUAGGCAAAAUGGUGCCGUAACUUCGGGAGAAGG
rnacentral:rRNA from 2 species